GGACUACACGGGUAUCUAAUCCCGUUCGCUCCCCACGCUUUCGCACCUCAGCGUCAGUGUUAGGCCAGGCAGCUGCCUUCGCCAUCGGUGUUCCUCAGGAUAUCUACGCAUUUCACCGCUACACCCUGAAUUCCACUGCCCCCUCCCACACUCAAGUCCCCCAGUCUCCAAGGCACUGUUCGCGUUGAGCGCUGAACCUUUCACCCCAGACUUAAGAGACCGCCUACGCGCGCUUUACGCCCAGUAACUUCGGACAACGCUCGCCCCCUACGUAUUACCGCGGCGGCUGGCAC
rnacentral:rRNA from 1 species